rnacentral:rRNA from 1 species
UAGGGAAUCUUCCACAAUGGACGCAAGUCUGAUGGAGCAACGCCGCGUGAGUGAAGAAGGUUUUCGGAUCGUAAAGCUCUGUUGUUGGUGAAGAAGGAUAGAGGCAGUAACUGGUCUUUAUUUGACGGUAAUCAACCAGAAAGUCACGGCUAACUACGUGCCAGCAGCCGCGGUAAUACGUAGGUGGCAAGCGUUGUCCGGAUUUAUUGGGCGUAAAGCGAGCGCAGGCGGAAUGAUAAGUCUGAUGUGAAAGCCCACGGCUCAACAGUGGAACUGCAUCGGAAACUGUCAGUCUUGAGUGCAGAAGAGGAGAGGGGAAUUCCAUGUGUAGCGGUGGAAUGCGUAGAUAUAUGGAAGAACACAAGUGGCGAAGGCGGCUCUCUGGUCUGCAACUGACGCUGAGGCUCGAAAGCAUGGGUAGCGAACAGG